rnacentral:lncRNA from 1 species
GAACUUUUUUCUAGCAAUAGUAUUGAUGGUGUGGAGUGCACAGGUGCACUGUGUAAAAUGCAACAUGCAAUAAUGGAGUGGCUGGCAGAGCAGCAGCAGGGGUGGGGCUUUGCGUUUGUUUAACACUAUGCUGUUUUCAAAUAAAUAGUUUUCCAUUUAGAAAUGCAAAACUUUUAAACAAGGAAAAUGAUGGUGAACACUGUUUUUUUGGGAAUUGUAUUUUUACUUCACAUCAACAUGAAUUUAGAGAAUCAUGGUGCUUUUAUUAAAAGAGCUUCAGAGUAUAUGUAAAUACGUUUUUAAAAGUCACGUCGCUGAUAUCAGUUAGGUAACCUAACAUUUCACUACUGCUCUAGGAUUGAUGUGCACUGUACAGCAUCCGAGGUAAAACGUGGUUUUGUUUUGUAAAAACUGUAGAUUUUUACUUACAAGUGCCUUUUUGCCACCUAAUGUUUUUAUUUAUAGGAAUGCUGAUCUUUUGUACAUAUGGUUUGUUUUAAAAUCAUGUUAAUAAGUUUGUAUAUAAGUGCAUAUGUAUAUAACCGGAUUUCAAAAAGAAAUCAAAGUUAUUAGUAACAUGCAAGAUUGCAUAUUAAGAAUUAACUGAUAAAUGCAUAUAGACUUUAGGUGAUUUUGUGGUUUGCUGCUGUAUCAUAAGGGAAGCUGUUGGUCAUUGAGUUCAUUUAAUUAUGUUGGAAUACUUUCCUAAAGAUUUAAUUUUAACUCCAUUUUGAUAGAGUGAUUUUAUUUUUAUGUUGUGUGGCUUCGUGUUUAUAUUUUGUGAGUUACAUGUUUUGCUUUAUUUUUAUAUAAAAUUUCUUUAAAAUUUAUAACGUUUCUAUAACAGCCCAUAUAUCUGCUUUUUUAUAAUGUGUUCUAAGUUAAUAUUUAUGUACACCAUACUUACUUUGUAAAUUUAAUACAAAUCUGGAAAAUUAAAUAACUUUUAUAAUC